GUAGAGGUAGAGGAGGAAAUGUAGAGGAGGAGAUGUAGAGGAGGAGAUGUAGAGGUAGAGGAGGAGAUAUAGAGGAGGAGAUAUAGAGGAGGAGAUAUAGAGGAGGAGAUAUAGAGGAGGAGAUGUAGAGGAGGAGAUGUAGAGGAGGAGAUAUAGAGGAGGAGAUAUAGAGGAGGAGAUAUAGAGGAGGAGAUAUAGAGGAGGAGAUGUAGAGGAGGAGAUGUAGAGGAGGAGAUGUAGAGGAGGAGAUAUAGAGGAGGAGAUAUAGAGGAAGAGAUAUAAAGGUAGAGGAGGAGAAAUACAGGAGGAGAUAUAGAGGAGGAGAUGUAGAGGAGGAGAUGUAGAGGUAGAGGAGGAGAUAUAGAGGAGGAGAUGUAGAGGAGGAGAUGUAGAGGUAGAGGAGGAGAUAUAGAGGUAGAGGAGGAGAUGUAGAGGUAGAG
rnacentral:lncRNA from 1 species